AGUGAUUUAAGUGAGCUCUUUGAACCGUUACUCCUCCAUGUAUACAUUGCUGUAAAAGAUGAGAAUGACAUAAAGAAGGCCCAGAACGAGGUCCAAGUUGAAGAUGACAUCCAACUUGCAUUUCUUCUUCUUUAGAUGUAGAAGACAGACUCCUCCCUUUCUCAGGAGGCAAUAACUAAACCAGGUUAAUGAGCAAGCCUGCAUCUCCAAAGACAUCCUACAUGGGGCUGACAUUCCCUGCAGACCUGUAGAAAACCUGAUGACACUCCUGAUCAUUUUUCCUUCAGCUUUUCCACAUCAAUUUAGUUGUGUGCAGGUUUCUGCCCUUAUUCAUAAGCCAGUUGAAGCUACAUAGAGCUGUCACUGCACUUCUAACUUCUUCCUUCCCCAAGGUCUCUUUCUUUCAAAGGCUGAGAUGAAUGUAUGUCUCCACUCAGCCACUCUUAAAGCUCUCUUCCAAGAGAUGUGUCCUAGCUGAACUUAGCAGAGAAUGUAUAUGACAUCAAUUGUAGGACCAGUCAGUACUGUUCCUGACUGCAAAGAGAGACACUCACAAAUGAAGAGCUGAGAAAUUUCACUUUAAACACUGGUGCCUUUGGCUCAGGCUGGAGGGGUGCAUCACUCAAGCUACAGAGAAAUGUACAGUUAUGUCCUUGGUGUGGAUAAUUUAUAUAUUUUUAGUUUCCAGUGGUGUUAAUUUGGCACCCCCUGGAGGAAAUAUAUUUGAAAACACUUACAGGAAGGAAAUACUUUAAAAAUCCCCUUUGAUAAAAUUGAUUCUUUAACUAGACUGUAAAUUUUCCCAGUUAUCUAUGGAGAAGGGAGUCUGCAGAAAUAUUCAUGUAAUUUUUCUGUAGGCAGUUUUUCAUCCUGAGAUAAUACAUGCAAUUUUUUUCUUCCUCAGACUAAACACGUCAAUCUAAGACUGUGACUGAAGAAGUGCUGGAGAAUUUCUUGAACAUCAUGAAUUAAAUGAUCAAAAAGAAAACUUGGAAUGUCACCUAUAAAUGACAAGAAGAACCAUUAAAGGAAUCUGUGUGAACCUGGUCCAAGCCAGGUAAGAAUCAGUAUACAUCCUCACUCUCAGGGCUAGGGUGGACUUAUGCCAGAUAAAAUGGGGGAAGACCUUACUGUAGGGCUGUGCCUAGAUUUACAAACCAAACCAAUGUCUUAGAAAACCUAAGGCUAUUAGAAAUACGUCAAUUUGCUAAUUAAGUGGAAUUGCUUUCUUUGUUAGACAGAAAUGGCCAUCUGCUGGGCUUGCAAGCUAGCUACAGAGUUUGAUGCUCAGAAACUAAAAAAUGCCAAAGGCAAAAAUUUAAACCGCUUUGCCCAUCCAGGCUGCAAGAAAAGAAGGACAUAAAUAAUGCCAAAACGUGCAUUUUAGACAGCUUUAAAAUUCUACUUGAAUGUAACAAAAUAAUGUGAUGUUGGCAAUUUCCAAAAAAGAAAUGUCAACAAGCUGUUUUAAUUAUUGUCAUUUGAUAGCUUUCUUUAGGAAAUACCUGGCUGCAUUUACAAUGUGGUUUCAAAGAGAACUGGCCAUGUUGUCUGCCAGUGCUGCAUCCAGAGAAGCUAACCUGUGAAGUCUCAGUAAUAAUUGCAUUAUUUUUGAUCUCUGUCAGCUGAGCACAGAGCAAUCUCUUCUUUAGUCCUUCUGGCCCAGCUACAAAGCUCAAUCGUGGUCCUGGCUGAAAGGAACUUUUUCCUGGGAACUGCUUUGUUUCAUUAGCUCCAGCAUGUAUGCUUUUUGUGUGUUGGUUUUGUUUGUUUUCCCAGAAGGUCCUCUGAAUUUCCCAGGAGUCCUUCCUUUUGACCUAAACUCAUUGCUGCAUAACCUCGUAACUCACGGGUAAUUCAAAGUCUUUGCAGUGAGCUAAUAUGGAGAGAGUCACACCACAGGAACUGCCAUGCUAGUUUCCUCUAGAUCAAAAGUUUCCCAGACACUAGCAGUGGUCAGAAAUGGAUGUCUAGAUAAACAGCAUAAGAAAAAGGACAUAAAUGAUUCUUUUCCUGUUCCCUUCUCAUAUGGUGUCUCUGGCUGUCUUCCUUUCUCUAGGAGAUAAUAAUCAGGGGCUGGCUGCUUGACUCAGAAAACCCUUUG